ensembl:lncRNA novel transcript
AGGCGGCUCAGCCACCGGGACCUGUCCUGCCUCCACCCUCUGUGCAACCCCUUUCCUUGCCUUUUGUCUCUGUUGCUUUUGGGGGGUGAUUAGCCGCUAGCUCAGCGGCUAGAGGAUUCUCUCCCGGAAAAGGCUCCGGAGUUGAGGCCCAGACCCCCAGGGCAAGACGGAAUCUGCUCCCCAGGGCACUAACUGAGACUCGGUUCCCUCACUGGUAAAAUGAGAAAACUCACUUAUGGUCAGGGGUCCCCGAGUUAAUGCCAGUGAAUUCCUUGGCAGAGCAUCAAGCACUUGGAGAAGCCCCCACCCCCGGUCAUUGUGAUGAUGGUUUGUUUGUUUGUUUGUUUGUUUUGAGACGGAGUCUCGCUCUGUCGCCCAGGCUGGAGUGCAGUGGCGCGAUCUCGGCUCACUGCAAGCUCUGCCUCCCGGGUUCACGCCAUUCAGGGGAGUGGCGCCGAGACACCGUGUAGCGCCCAUGCCAAGGAGGAAGCGAGACAGCAGGAGCGGAGGAAAGAACCCCGGGCUGUGUUGAGGAAGCCUCCUACUUUUGCCUGAAGUGAGGUUGUUGUUGUUGUUGUUGUUGUUUUUUCCACGUGCCUUAUUCAUCCACGUAACCUCAGCCUCUAGUGCAGCGUCCUAUUUUUUGGCUUGUAUUAUUAUUUUUAAUUGGCACAUAAUAAUUGUACAUAUUUAUGGGAUGCAGUGUAAUAUUUUAGUACACAUAUACAAUGUGUAUUGGUCAAAUCAGGGUAAUUAGCACAUUCAGGGUUGGAGUUUUUCUGUCAAUACAGAUACUUAUA